CUAGAUAACAAAUGCACAAGAAUAUUAUAUGCUCAAUUGUCAAAUCAUUGUGAGCUUCCCUCCCUAUAUAUGUGAGGAUCAUCAAACAUCAAGAGUUAAUCAGGAAAAAUAAGACUUUAGAAGCAGCCACUUCAGUUCAAAUGGCUGAAGUUCUAGUGACAAAAAUAACUACUGAUAAAAAAGUAGUAGCAAAGUUUGACAGGAAAGAAGCUCAUAUCAAAACACUAGAUGAUCUUGUUAAUGUGAAUUCACUAUUCACCUUAGCUGUGUUUGUUGGCCUAUCUCAGGCUUCACCAGGCAUUCGCAGCCUAGAGAAUCGCGGCGACUGUAAUGCUGGUCCAGGAGUAGCUAAAAUGCUCGUCCUCUACGAAGUGGUGGCCUUUGCUUGUUUUCUUUUAUCAAGCCUUGUUGCCAAAGUACUUAAGCUAGUUCUAAGUAUGGAUGGCAUAAGAUUUAAGUUUGUUCACUCGGGAUUCGAUUUAAAGGACUUCCUGUUGGUCUUAGCAGCAGGUGCAUCUGUUUCUGGAAUUAUUCUGCUUACGCUUUCGGUGGUUAAUUUAGUUCAAAUUCGAAUAGGUCUGUACUCUUGUGGGAGUGCGGAAGCAAGGAGAGCGAUUUGGGCUCUUUGUACAAUUGUUGCCAUUGCUUUGAUAAUUUAUGUUGUGUCCAUCAGUUUUGCUAUCUAUGCUUCUAUUACUGGUGACCCGUCAGAAGAGAACACGGAUGAAAUGGUUUAAUCAAAUUGGGCCAGCUACUUAGUUUUGUUCCUGUAGACAAAUUUGUUGAGUACUUGAAAUAUUGGUGUACUGUUUAUUUUUGUCCCCAUACAAAUUUGUUGAACUUUUGAGUUAUGUUUUCUGUAUUGACUUGAAAUGGAAUCUUUCCAGAGGAAAGUUGAGUUUGGAUGUUAA